rnacentral:rRNA from 1 species
UACGUAGGGGGCGAGCGUUGUCCGGAUUCAUUGGGCGUAAAGCGCUUUAAGGCGGUUCGCUAAGUCGGGUGUGAAACCUCCAGGCUCAACCUGGAGACGCCACUCGAUACUGGCGUGACUAGAGUUCGGUAGGGGACCACGGAAUUCCUGGUGUGAGCGGUGAAAUGACGCAGAUAUCAGGAGGAACACCAGUGGCGAAGGCGGUGGUCUGGGCCGAUACUGACGCUGUAGAGCGAAAGCGUGGGGAGCGAACAGG